rnacentral:rRNA from 1 species
UGAACGCUGGCGGCAGGCCUAACACAUGCAAGUCGAGCGGAAACGAGUUAUCUGAACCUUCGGGGAACGAUAACGGCGUCGAGCGGCGGACGGGUGAGUARUGCCUAGGAAAUUGCCCUGAUGUGGGGGAUAACCAUUGGAAACGAUGGCUAAUACCGCAUAAUACCUACGGGUCAAAGAGGGGGACCUUCGGGCCUCUCGCGUCAGGAUAUGCCUAGGUGGGAUUAGCUAGUUGGUGAGGUAAUGGCUCACCAAGGCGACGAUCCCUAGCUGGUCUGAGAGGAUGAUCAGCCACACUGGAACUGAGACACGGUCCAGACUCCUACGGGAGGCAGCAGUGGGGAAUAUUGCACAAUGGGCGCAAGCCUGAUGCAGCCAUGCCGCGUGUGUGAAGAAGGCCUUCGGGUUGUAAAGCACUUUCAGUCGUGAGGAAGGUAGUGUAGUUAAUAGCUGCAUUCAUUUGACGUUAGCGACAGAAGAAGCACCGGCUAACCCGUGCCAGCAGCCGCGGUA